UAACGCCUGCCCGAUGCGAUAAAUGUUCGGUUAUUAUUAACCCAACAAAUUUUUAAAGGGAGCUUAAAUUAUCUGUGUGUGGAGCAGACCUCCCGCUUAUGCGGACGCUGGGAGCAUACUAAUCGCAGAUUGAAGCACCCACCUGCUUGAGACGCAGGUUAUUAACAACCGACUACGGUCGGGUGGGUAUUGU
rnacentral:other from 1 species